GUUGGUUUUACYCGAAGACGGCGCGCYAACCGCAAGGGGGCAGCCGGCCACGGUARGGUCAGCGACUGRGGUGAAGUCGUAACAAGGUAGCCGUAGGUGAACCUGCAGAAGGAUCA
rnacentral:rRNA from 1 species